rnacentral:rRNA from 1 species
CACGAAUUAAGGCGAGCUAAUUUGUUGUAAAUAUUAGUUUGCAGAAUGUUACAUAAUUAUUUUAAACAGUAAAUUAGGGGUGAUAGGCUUUUCAAGUCUUAGUAUAACUUGAUGUUUAUGAAAUGUAUUAAGUACAAACACAAUUAAGGAGUGCUAAGAUUCCUUAUAUAUACAAAGUUAAUAAAACUUCAAUUGAUCGUGUUAUAACUAACAGAUACCAUAUAUUAAAAACAUGGAUCUUCUAUUAAAUUUGUAUCAUAUAAUAAACUAUUUGAAAUUAACUUAAAAAUACAUAUUGUUAUUAUAAGUAUAUCUUAAAAUAUUUGAAAUGAACUCGGCAACAUUCUCUUCAACUGUUUAUCAAAAACAUAGCUAGUAGAUCAAAUUAUUGGUAUUUUCUGCUCAAUGAAUAUUAAAUAGCCGCAGUACCCUGACUGUGCUAAGGUAGCAUAAUCAAUUGGCUUGUAAUUUAAGUCUUGUAUGAAUGAAAAGAUGUAAGAGAAACUAUAUAGGGAAUAUAUAUUGAAAUUACUUAGUAAGUGAAAAUACUUACUUAAAAAUAUUGGACGAGAAGACCCUAGAAAUUUUGAGAAUCCGGAAUGAAGACUUUUUGUUGGGGCAACAAUGUAACAUGUAACUUACAGUUAAAUACAAGCAAUACUUUAUUGUCAGAUUAAAUUACUCUAGGGAUAACAGCGUAAUGUUGAAACGUUUGCGACCUCGAUGUUGGAUUAGGAAAUAUAAGCUUAGAA